UGGAGGCGCACUGACUAAUGCUAACUGCUCCAUUCCACUUGCAAGCUCUUGCUCUGAAAUGUUGAAACCCUACCUUGAAUGGUGCGUUGCUCCAAUCGGUUUUCACAAGUCCACCUCUUGUUGCCCAGUUAUCUGCGUUCCAUAGGCUGUGAAUGGUGUAAUUGUGAAAAUCAGCACUUGGGUCAAACCAGAGGUGAAAUUGUUGUUCUCUGUUUCCUUUUCCUUGUGUAUAUAUGUUAGUAUUGACUGUGUAGGGUUGUCCUGAACUGUUACCUAAGAACUCAAAAUCUAUCUCAUCAUGAUGGCUUCCUGCGGAAGAUAACUGUGUUGAUUUUAAGUGAGAAGCAUUAGCAUUUCAUUUACUAGCACAAUAUCAUAUAUUUGACCGUUCUGGAGUACAUUUAAAUUUGUGGUUUUCAGGGAAUUUAAGAAGAGAUUGUAUGUUGUGUGUAUAGUUCUUGUAGGUCGAGUCGACUUACAUAGUACGCUGUGACUAUUCCUGCGGAAUUUCCAGGUAUCAUUUUGAUUAACAUUUCAAUACUUCCAAAUAAGAAAGAUCUCUUCGAACGAGCAGCUGAUCCUGAAAUUCAAAGGCAACAUCAUAUAUUUCCACAAUAGCCAAUAACUGAUGAAUGCAAAAUGUUCAGUAAGAUUGCAAAUCUUAAGUGCUAGUACAGGAAUAUAUAAACAUGAUUCUUUCGUAUUUGUAUCUGGCCAUCAUAUCAUGUUUGUCCACCUAAUAUUCAUUUGCAGCAUAUUAUUCACUUUACCUCAGUUUGCAUAAUGUUUAGUCAUGAAUAUAUAAAGUGUUUUCUCUGGUAUUAGGCCAUAACAUCAUUUUUCCCUCAGUAUUAUUCAUUUGCAACAUAUUGAAAAAUGCAAUAAAUUUUUGAUUUCCUAGCUCUUCGGUGCAAAAUUUCAUCCUGCUAGAGGGCACGAAUCUAUUGAAACCAAAACUGAUGCAUGCUAAGUAUAAAUAAAUAAAAUAUUUACCUGAGGUUUUAUCCAACACAAGGUGAAGAUCUUCACCAACAAUUGAUGAAUGCUGAACACCCCAAGUGAGGUACAUGCUCUUUGAAAAGUUGGCAUUCACCUGGAUUAUGUUGGGUAAGAAUACACAGAAAAGAAAAGCUACCAACAUUUUUUCAAACUUGCCCAUGUUUACUCCCAUGAAAUUUGCACCUAUGAAGUUAAAAACUUUGUCGAUUUAUCAUUGGUUUGCCUUGGUGGUUGUAUUUAUAUGUUCGAACCAGCAAAAUGAAAUCCUAAAGAUGUUCAGUUUAAAUGUUCAUGGGAUUUGCAGUCAUGACAUUAUUGCUUCUAAAAUUGAGAGCCUAAAGAAUUUAAUUCAGGAUUCAUAAAUAAAUUGGCUCCUGAAUGUGUACAAGUGUUUAAAUCUGGUUCCAUUUUGUUGUUUUGUUUUUGAAUUUUUUUUCCUAGCUACCUCAGUCAUGUCUCUGAUUUUAAAUGCUAGUGAAUAAAAUGUUAGUACUGUACAAUGUCAUCAUUAGGAUCAAAAUCAUUUGAAAUAGAGGUGGUAUUUUGAUUUGUGCGCGUAGGCUUCAUGGGAAGCUGGUGUAGCGCUCCAAAUGAACCAAACCUGGGUGGGAACUAGGAACAUAAAUUCUUGCACGAGACUAUUAAGAUGGGAGUGACUCUCAUGGUAAUGGUAAUCCAUCCAGCUGGAUGAUGAUAAGCUAAUAAUUUUAGAGGGAUUUGUCUCACUCUCAACAUUCCUAAAAAAACAAAACAUGGUUAUGAGAGUGUACCUAUAGACAAUACAACACAAUUUUAUUUUAUUUUUAAUGUGAUAGAGUAAUGUAUUAGUUAGCAUUAUGUAUUAUUAUAGUGCUGAGCUGUAAUAGUUAGUGACAACUGUAAUAGUUAGUUACAUCAUGCUGAGCUGUAAUAGUUAGUGACAGCGGUAAUAGUGACAGCUGUAAUAGUUAGUUACAUCAUUCUUUCUAUAUAAGUAAAGUCGUUGUAUCUCAUUUGAACAAAAUGCAAUAUAUGAAAUUCUAAUAGAAUUCUAACUGA